rnacentral:rRNA from 1 species
AGUGAACGCUGGCGGCGUGCCUAAUACAUGCAAGUCGAACGGAGAUUAAGUAGCUUGCUAUUUAAUCUUAGUGGCGCACGGGUGAGUAAUAUAUAGCUAACUUGCCCAUUACUAAGGGACAACAGUUGGAAACGACUGCUAAUACCUUAUACUCCGUAUCUAUAUAAGUAGAUACGGGAAAGUUUUUCGGUAAUGGAUAGGGCUAUAUCGUAUCAGCUAGUUGGUAGGGUAACGGCCUACCAAGGCUAUGACGCGUAACUGGUCUGAGAGGAUGAUCAGUCACACUGGAACUGAGACACGGUCCAGACUCCUACGGGAGGCAGCAGUAGGGAAUAUUGCUCAAUGGGGGAAACCCUGAAGCAGCAACGCCGCGUGGAGGAUGACACUUUUCGGAGCGUAAACUCCUUUUCUUGGGAAAGAAUUAUGACGGUACCCAAGGAAUAAGCACCGGCUAACUCCGUGCCAGCAGCCGCGGUAAUACGGAGGGUGCAAGCGUUACUCGGAAUCACUGGGCGUAAAGGACGCGUAGGCGGAUUAUCAAGUCUCUUGUGAAAUCUAACGGCUUAACCGUUAAACUGCUUGGGAAACUGAUAAUCUAGAGUAAGGGAGAGGCAGAUGGAAUUCUUGGUGUAGGGGUAAAAUCCGUAGAGAUCAAGAAGAAUACCCAUUGCGAAAGCGAUCUGCUGGAACUUAACUGACGCUAAUGCGUGAAAGCGUGGGGAGCAAACAGG